UAGGUAAUCUACCUUUGAGUGGGGGACAACUAGUCGAAAGGCGAGCUAAUCCCGCAUAAUAUUUCAAUUCAUAAGAAUUGGAAUCAAAGAGGGGGAUCCUUUUGGACCUCUUGCUUGAAGAUGAACUUAUGUCCUAUUAGCUUGUUGGUGGGGUAAUGGCCUACCAAGGCGAUGAUGGGUAGCCGAGCUGAGAGGCUGAUCGGCCACACUGGAACUGACACACGGUCCAG
rnacentral:rRNA from 1 species